GUUCGGCUUCUUUGGCGCGCAAGUAUAAAACAAUGAACAGACGCAACUGUGGCCCACUAGACUAGAGAUACUUUCUCUUCUGAGCUCGCUCAUCGGACUGAGAAAAGAGAGGAGCCAAAAUGGAACCCGUUCGGUCUCAGAGGAAAUUGAUCGUCAACGACGUCGUCUCGACCCUCCCUCUCUACCGUUCUGCUCCGGCCCUUGAAGUUCGUCUCGAAGAGUUCGAGCUUUUCGCCCUCGAUCGCCUCCGAGUGCUUAAAGGGAUUUCUGAUGCAUUAUCACGAGGAAGGAAACCUGAAGAAAUGGACAAAUUGGCAAUUGAUCUAUGGAAGACAAAUAUUAGGCAUCCUCAGUCUUCUGAGGUCAUCAACAAGGACAUAAUAUCACACUUUGUUCUGCGUCUAGUUUAUUGCAGAACGGAGGACCUGAGGAAAUGGUUUCUUUCCAUGGAGACGGCCCUAUUUCGUUACCGGUUUAAACGGGAAAAGCAAGAAGCUCAGAGGGCACUCAUGGCAGAAUUUGAUCUUCCAUACAAGGCAGUUAGUAGUUCAGAAUUCGAGAGUGUAAAAGAGAAAUUGGUCCUGGUUUCACGUUCCCUCGGUCAAUCUUCACCAACUGCUGAUGACAUCUUCUUCAAGGUACCAUUUGAAGAAGUUCCAGAACUUGUAGCUGGUCGUAGAGUGUUCAUCAGUAAGGGGCAUGCAUAUAUAGCUAUGAGUCAGGUGGUUUCCCUUGUUGCCACACAAUUCCGCAGUCAUCUGUCAAAGGCACUUAUUUUGACAAACAGAAAAUGGACUACAACUAUAGCAGAACAAGAGAAGGAUCGGUUGACUCCCAUUGUUGAAGCCCUAUCCUCAAGUUACCUGGGACCUGACUAUUCUCAGCCAAAAGAAUUUGCUCAGAUUUCCUUAAAAGACAUUGAUGAUGUAGCUAAGAGCUCCUUUCCUCUGUGCAUGCGUCACCUAUUUGAAAAGUUGAGAGAGGAUCAUCAUUUAAAGCAUGGAGGUAGAAUGCAACUAGGUCUCUUCCUCAAGGGUGUUGGCUUGAAGCUGGAUGAUGCCCUUGCGUUUUGGAAAGCUGAGUUCUCACGAAAGGUUGGUGCCGAAAGGUUUGACAAAGAAUAUUCAUAUAGCAUACGCCACAAUUACGGAAGAGAAGGGAAAAGAACGGAUUACACACCUUAUUCCUGUCAAAAAAUCAUCUCUUCUACUCCUGGUGUAGGAGAUCAUCAUGGAUGCCCGUAUCGAAAUUUCAGUGAAGAGAAUUUGAGAGCAGCUCUCAAUAAAAUGGGAGUUACUGGCCGUGCAGUUGGAGAUGUCAUGGACAAAGUGCGAAACAGACAUUAUCAGCUGGCAUGCACCUUGACGUUUGAAGCUGUUCAUGGGUCAUCAUGCGAUGCUGGGAUUAACCAUCCAAAUCAAUACUUUUCUGACAGCCAAAAGAUUAUGCAGUCCAAGUGUGCCUAAUUGAUGCAUAUAAGCAUGCAGUAAAAAAGAUGCUGAAGUUACGUUUUGAAAGCUUGCCUAAGAACCAGUCUGCAGCUUGAGGAGAGCUUUUGGGCAUUGUCAUUCCAGACAGAGGUACCUCGCUCUAAAUAGUCUACUUAAGUUAGUGCUGUUUGUGCAAGUGAAGGACACACCCAACCCAAAUGCAAAUAACAGAGCAUCGAGCCAAAGUGGACCCAAAAUUUUGAUUGUUCUAUCCAUAUCUUUCCACUCAAGUAAAGCCUUUAAAGUCGCUCUUCUGCCCUAAAGUAGGCCAUGCAUUAUGGUUUUUCUACACAUAGAAAUGGCAGAGCUGGUGGCCCCACCUUUCCUUUCCCGGCAUAAAGGCUGGGUUUUGCUUUACACUGAAAAAUAUGUAAUUUAGUAUUAUUUAGAAUCGCAUCUUCAUGUGAAAAUUCGGACCUCUGGAUAAGAAUAGUGCAUGGUGUGGCAUAUUCUCUGUUUUCGUUCGUCUGAUUUUGGGUGCUCAAUGAGGAAAUAGCAUCACCUGGAUCAGAUUGAACGUAAUCUUGUUGACGAGAAAGGGGUUGGUUCUAUUCUAGCAAGUGUUGCAAACAUGGCUCCAGCACAAAUUUGGUGUAUAGGUUUGAUUGAUCAGA